GUGGCUCAAAGGAGAGGGCGCCAGUCUUAUAUGCUGGAGGCCGCAGGUUCAAACCCAGCC
rnacentral:tRNA from 1 species